rnacentral:rRNA from 1 species
CCUACGGGCGGCAGCAGUGAGGAAUAUUGGUCAAUGGCCGGAAGGCUGAACCAGCCAAGCCGCGUGAAGGACGAAGGUGCCAAGCAUUGUAAACUUCUUUUGUCAAGGGACAAAAUCAGGCUCGAGAGCCUGACCGAGGGUACUGGAAGAAAAAGCAUCGGCUAACUCCGUGCCAGCAGCCGGGGUAAUACGGAGGAUGCGAGCGUUAUCCGGAUUUAUUGGGUUUAAAGGUUGCGUAGGCGGACUGUUAAGUCAGUGGUAAAAGCCCGGGGCUCAACCCCGGCGGGCAAUUGAAACUGGCUGUCUAGAGAUGUCGAGGGGUAUGCGGAAUGCGCAGUGUAGCAGUGAAAUGCGUAGAUAUUGCGCAGAACUCCGAUUGCGAAGGCAGGAUACCGGCGGCGAUCUGACGCUGAGGCACGAAAGCGUGGGUAUCGAACAGGAUUAGAUACCCUAGUAGUC